UGUCGUAUGGGAAGAACAGAAUAGGAAAGGAUUUUAGUUGGACGGUACCAUACCAGAAAGGGAGGGCUAAAUACGUGCCAGCAGCCGCGGUAAUACGUAUGUCCCGAGCGUUAUCCGGAUUUAUUGGGCGUAAAGCGAGCGCAGACGGUUUAUUAAGUCUGAUGUGAAAGCCCGGAGCUCAACUCCGGAAUGGCAUUGGAAACUGG
rnacentral:rRNA from 1 species